rnacentral:lncRNA from 1 species
GGUACAUAAUCAACAGCGGAAUCAUUAUUGCUGCUUUCACUGUUAUUGAAUAAAGUGAAUACAGACAUGUUUGCUGAAUUCCCAGUAUUUAUUGCAAUUUCAGUAGAGCUAUCACAAUGUUCAUUUGUAAAAUAUCUGAUGCUGCAAACUGGUGAUCUUGGAAAAUAUGUCUGUUAACAGGCCAAAUACCAUGUGCACAGAAAGUGUGGGUUGCUUACCUAACGCCUUCACUUCAUUUCCAACAGCAUUUUUUCUAUCAGCAUAUCUCUUAAUAGUUGCCUUGGUAGAUAAUAAAUAUGGCUAUACUCAUUCAGACCAGUAUCAGCAUUCCUAUAAGCUGCAGCAGCCAUUAAUAAAUCUCUUUUGGACCAAUAUCUG